rnacentral:rRNA from 1 species
CCUACGGGUGGCAGCAGUGGGGAAUAUUGCACAAUGGGGGAAACCCUGAUGCAGCGACGCCGCGUGAGCGAUGAAGUAUUUCGGUAUGUAAAGCUCUAUCAGCAGGGAAGAAAAUGACGGUACCUGACUAAGAAGCCCCGGCUAACUACGUGCCAGCAGCCGCGGUAAUACGUAGGGGGCAAGCGUGAUCCGGAUUUACUGGGUGUACAGGGAGCGUAGACGGCGCUGCAAGCCAGAUGUGAAAGCCCGGGGCUCACCCCCGGGACUGCAUUUGGAACUGUAUAGCUGGAGUGUCGGAGAGGCAGGCGGCAUUCCUUGUGUAGCGGUGAAAUGCGUAGAUAUUAGGCGGAACACCAGUGGCGAAGGCGGCCUGCUGGACGAUGACUGACGUUGAGGCUCGAAAGCGUGGGGAGCAAACAGGAUUAGAUACCCCUGUAGUC